UGUUGGUUUCUAGGACCGCCGUAAUGAUUAAUAGGGACAGUCGGGGGCAUCAGUAUUCAAUUGUCAGAGGUGAAAUUCUUGGAUUUAUUGAAGACUAACUACUGCGAAAGCAUUUGCCAAGGAUGUCUUCAUUAAUCAGGAACGAAAGUUAGGGGAUCGAAGACGAUCAGAUACCGUCGUAGUCUUAACCAUAAACUAUGCCGACUAGGGAUCGGACGAUGUUAUAUUUUGACUCGUUCGGCACCUUACGAGAAAUCAAAGUGCUUGGGCUCCAGGGGGAGUAUGGUCGCAAGGCUGAAACUUAAAGAAAUUGGCGGAGGGGCACCACCAGGGGUGGAGCCUGCGGCUUAAUUUGACUCAACACGGGGAAACUCACCAGGUCCAGACACAAUGAGGAUUGACAGAUUGAGAGCUCUUUCUUGAUUUUGUGGGUGGUGGUGCAUGGCCGUUCUUAGUUGGUGGAGUGAUUUGUCUGCUUAAUUGCGAUAACGAACGAGACCUUAACCUGCUAAAUAGCCCGUAUUGCUUCGGCAGUACGCUGGCUUCUUAGAGGGACUAUCGGCUCAAGCCGAUGGAAGUUUGAGGCAAUAACAGGUCUGUGAUGCCCUUAGAUGUUCUGGGCCGCACGCGCGCUACACUGACGGAGCCAGCGAGUACUUCCUUGGCCGAAAGGCCCGGGUAAUCUUGUUAAACUCCGUCGUGCUGGGGAUAGGGCAUUGCAAUAAUCG
rnacentral:rRNA from 1 species